AUUGAACGCUGGCGGCAGGCCUAACACAUGCAAGUCGAACGGUAACAGGAGCAGCUUGCUGCUUUGCUGACGAGUGGCGGACGGGUGAGUAAUGUCUGGGAAACUGCCCGAUGGAGGGGGAUAACUACUGGAAACGGUAGCUAAUACCGCAUAACGUCGCAAGACCAAAGAGGGGGACCUUAGGGCCUCUUGCCAUCGGAUGUGCCCAGAUGGAUUAGCUAGUAGGUGGGGUAACGGCUCACCUAGGCGACGAUCCCUAGCUGGUCUGAGAGGAUGACCAGCCACACUGGAACUGAGACACGGUCCAGACUCCUACGGGAGGCAGCAGUGGGGAAUAUUGCACAAUGGGCGCAAGCCUGAUGCAGCCAUGCCGCGUGUAUGAAGAAGGCCUUCGGGUUGUAAAGUACUUUCAGCGGGGAGGAAGGGAGUAAAGUUAAUACCUUUGCUCAUUGACGUUACCCGCAGAAGAAGCACCGGCUAACUCC
rnacentral:rRNA from 1 species